AAAUAUUUUUUUAAUAAUAUAAAAAGGAAAGGAGAACCUCCCCUUAGCUGUAUCUUAACAUGCAGGAUUACAAGCCCAGACAUCUACUUGGCCUAUCCCAGAGAAGGCUGUUCGGAGUCCGGGCACAUGUGGCCACAGAAGGGUCAGCUGCCUCUGGACCCCAGUUUGUUGUAAGGCGAAGUGUGGGCUCAGCGCUGCUAGACAUUUCAGUAACCUCUACACCCAGCCUGGGGCUCGAACUCACAACCCCAAGAUCAGGAGUGGCUUGCUCUUCCAACUGUGCCUGCCAGGCACCCACAGUGGCUCCUAUAUUUAGGAUGUGGUACUGUGCACUGUGGAACCUGUGGACCAUUGCCCCUCCGUGGCUUCCUUCUCAACUCCAUCUUUACAUACCUGCCCCAAAAGGUCCUCAAUCAUAAAAGGCUGCAUUCCACUGCUGUCGGUGAGAGGUGACGGUGAUCUGGACUGGAGCUGGGGAGGUGGAAAUGGAAAGAAGCAAUCUGAUCUCAGAUAUAUUGUGGAGGAAUUUCCAAUAGGACUAGCUGAAGGUCUGGAUAUAGGAAGUAAGAGAGAAAGAAGCAGGAACCAAGGAAGAAAACUUCUAGGUCUCUAACU
rnacentral:lncRNA from 1 species